CGGAAAAAAAAAAUUAAAAAGAAGUGGGGAAGACACCAGGAUUCCCGUCUACAAUCGCUUCUUUCCUAAAUCACACCUCUGAGUCUCGGAUUUCCUUCGCUCCAAACUAAGCCCUUCGAUUCCAAAAAUAGUUCUUUAACCGCCGCCUCGCCACUCGAGCACACACACACCUUGCCAACUACGGGACCACAGCAGACACCCCCCUCCAAAGCGGCUCGCUCGACAUCUGGAAGUCGUGCCCUGCAGCAACUGCCUGUCGUCGAAUCGAGGGCUAUCACCCAAAUGCAACGCAGCGAGGGGAAAGUGAGCUCCCCGCCGGCCUCGGGACCGUUCGCCGGGGGGUGCCCAGGAGGGAGGGGGAGCAAACACCACGACUCGGGGAAUCCUUCCCUCUCGAGUGAGAACGGCUGGAUCCCCGACCAGGUGGCCGCAAGCUGCAGCCCGUCCAGGUCGGAGAGGCAGGCGGCGGAGGGCCGGUGGCUCGGAAAGGCGGAAUGCAGCUACUUCCCGAGGUCCGAACGCGAGCCGGUCCCCAGCUCCCGGGGGAGGCGAGGGGUGUCCCGUGGGUGACUGAGGGGAUGCCCGGCCCGCCAGGGGCAGCCUGAGGAGGAGCAGAGUUUCGUCCGGCCGGUGCCCGGGAGGGAAACACAACAGUAAAGGGUAUGUUCCUCAACCAGCUUGAACUCUUGAAAGGACAACUAUGCGCCCAAAGUGUGCAAACUCAGAUCAAAUAUGUUUGGAAAAUGCUGAUCUGGUACUUCCUGCCAAGUUGGUGCCAUGCUCUGAUUGCCAGUUUCCCAAAGGAUAGAUCCCUAUCACCUGUCCCGAAGAUGUCAAUCACCUGGUAAACUUCUUGGAGAAAUCAUCUGGCUGAAAAUAACCACCAAAGUUCCAUGACCUCACGAGAGUCCCCUCAAUUUCAACCUGAAAAUGUCUGUGAUUGGGACAGACAUUUGGAUCAGAGGUUAGGAUGCUCCUGGCUUCUGACUCCAACUUCCUGCAGACCCCUAGAGAGGGGUUCUACCACCCACAGUGGACCCCUGGAAUGAUGAAUUUUAUAAGCCCACAAAUGCAAGAAGGUAUCUCAACUGGAGGGAGCAGAAGAAAACCACAUGAGGCACUGCUGAGAUCCAAUGACGAAGAUGAAAUCCUAAAGCAGAUGGAGCUAAAAGACAUUUGACUGCAGAGGGACAAAGAUAUGAACGAUAAAACAUUUCUUGUUAAAAACCAUGUAGAUGAGAAUACAGUGGAGUAAUGUAUGGUGGGGGGAAAAUCUGCCACCCUUGGAUAUACAUACCCAACAAAAAGACAUUUCAGAAAGUAAAGGCAAAAAUGAAACUUUCAUAAAAAUAGAGCAAAUUCAUCAGCUGUAGACUAAACAGCAAGAAAUGUAAGAUGAAGUUCUUUAAGCACAAGGGAAGUCAUAUCAGGUGGAAAUAUAUACCCAUGAGAAGGAAUGAAAAGGAGAAAAAUGCAUGAAAAUAUAGGGGCUAACGAUGUGGGGUAGCAGGUAAAGCCGCCGCCUAAAGUGCCGGCAUCCAUGUGAACGUGGAUUCAAGUCCCGGCUGCUCCACUUCUGAUUCAGCUCUCUGCUAUGGCCUGGGAAAGCAAUGGAAGGUGACCCAAGUCCUUGGGCCCCUGCACCUGUGUGGGAGACUGGGAAGAAGUUCCUGGCUCCUGGCGUCAGAACGGCGUAGCUCUGGCCGUUGCGGCCGAUUGGGGAGUGAACCAGUGGAUGGAAGGCCUCUCUCUCUGCCUCUCCUUCUCUGUGUAACUCUGACUUUCAAAUAAAUAAAUAUUUUAAAAAUAUAUAUAAAAGACACUUUUCUCAUUAAAAUUCUUCAAAGGAUGAUUACUUUAAAAUGAGAACAAUAUAUUUUGUGAUUAAUGAUGUAUCCAGAAAUAAAAAUGUAGCACUAUAAUAGCACAAUAAACAAAAGUACACUAUGUUGAUUUUUUGAAGAUUUAUUCAUUUAUUUUGAAAAUCAGUUAGAGAGAGUGAGGGGGAGACAGAGAGAAAGUGAUCUGCCAUCCGCUGGUUCACUCUCCAGAUGGUCUCGAUGGCCAGGACUGGGCCAUCUUCUGCUGCUUUUCCCAGGCACAUUAGUAGGGAGCUAGAUAGGAAGUGGAGCAGCUGGGACAUGACCCAGUGCCCAUGUGGAAUGCUGGCAUUGCAGGCAGAAGCUUUAUCCACCCACUAAGUCACAGUGCUGGCCCCUGUUGAUAUUCUUAUGCAUGAAGAGGUAUCACACUAUUUGAAGGCAGAUAUGAUAAAUUAAAGAAGUAUGUUUUAUUUUUAAAGUUUUUUUUAUUAUUUUUUAUUUUUUUGACAGGCGGAGUGGACAGUGAAAGAGAGAGACAGAGAGAAAGGUCUUCCUUCCGUUGGUUCACCCCUCAGUGGCCGCUGUGGCCGGUGCACCGCGCUGAUCUGAAGCCAGGAGCCAGGUGCUUAUCCUGGUCUCCCAUGGGGUGCAGGGCCCAAGCACUUGGGCCAUCCUCCACUGCACUCCCAGGCCAUAGCAGAGAGCUGGACUGGAAGAGGAGUGACCGGGACAGAAUCCCGCGCCCCAACCGGGACUAGAACCCCGGGUGCCGGCGCCGCAGGCGGAGGAUUAAACCUAUUGAGCCGCAGCGCCAGCCAAGAAGUAUGUUUUAAAUCUAAGAUGUUUUAAAAAGUCUCUACAGACUUAGAAAAAAGUUUAAGCCUUGGUAAAAAGUAGCUGCCAGAACUAAUUUUAUAGCUAUUGAAUCCAUCAAAAACUCAACUCAGGGACCAGCACUGUGGCGUAGUGGGUAAAGCCACCGCCUGCAGUGCCAGCAUCUCAUAUGGGUGCCACUUUGAAUCCUGGCUGCUCCACUUCUGAUCCAGCUCUCUGCUAUGGCCUGGGAAAGCAGUAGAAGAUGGCCCAAGUCUUUAGGCCACUGCACCCGUGUGGGAGACUCAGAAGAAGCUCCUGGCUCCUGGCUUCUGAUCAGUGCAGCUCUGGCCAUUGCAGCCAGUUGGGAAAUGAACCAGAAGAUGGAAGACCUCUUGCUCGCUCUCUCUGCCUCUGCCUCUCUGUAACUCUACCUUUCAAAAAAAAAAUAAAUCUUUAAAAAGAGAGAGAGAAAAUUAAUAUCAGGUGAGUAGUUCUCAAAAUAUGGAAUAUUAAUAGAAAUACUGAGAAAUCAAUGAAGAAAGAGGAUAUAACAAUUCUAAAUAUGCAUGUACAUAGUGGAAAUCUGAAAUAUGUGAUGUAAAAGUUGAUAGAAUCAUAAUGAGAGCUAGACAUCCAUAAUUAUAGUUGGAGAUUUCAACAUUCCUCUCUCAGUAAUUGAUAGUAGAACUACACAGAAAAUCUGUAAAAAUAAAUAUUACUUUGCAGACUGCACAUCAUCUAUGUGGGAACUCCCCUAAGUCAUUUCCGAAAAGCUACUAAAACUUACGAGUUUAGCAAAGUCACAGGAUUCAUGGUCAAUUCAAAAAAUCAGUUGUAUUUCUACAUAUCAAGUCUCAUUGUUCAUGGACUCUGUAUUUAUAAAUUUGUCUAUUUCCUAAAAUUCAUCUGUAAUCUCCAAGUCUAUACUCAUGGUGCCGUCACAGUCACUGAUGGACAAGCAGGAAGCAGUGGAAACUUGGAGUCACACUCAUGCUCCCUACUGAGGUUGAACAGUGGUAGUGUGUCUUCCUGCUUUAGUUCCUAUGCUGUAAACAAGUGUCAUUUUUUUUGUGGUCUAUUUAAAAUGCCACACCUUUCACAUAAUUGUACUUCUUGUUGGUGGUUUUACUAUCAAAAAUAGCCUCCAGUCAAAUUUUAUUUAUUGUUCUUAAGCAAGAGAGCUAUAUUUGCUUUAUGAGGAAAAUCCGUGUAUCAUAUACGCUUCAUUUAGGCUUCAGUCACUGUGCUGUUGGUUGAGUCAAUGUUACCGGACCUACUAUAUAAUAAACAAAGUGUCUUUAAACAGACUCACUUAUGUAUUGAUCAGCUAGUAAAAAUGUUGACAGGGGCUUGCAGAAAUUUUUUUAAAGAUUUAUUUAUUCAUUAUUUAUUUGAAAGGCAGAGUUACAGAGAGGCAGAGGCAGAGAGAUAGAGAGAGAGAGAGAGAGAUCUUCCAUCCGCUGGUUCACUCCCCAACUGGCUGCAAUGGCCAGAGCUGUGCCAAUCCGAAGCCAGGAGCCAGGAGCUUCUUCUGGGUCUCCCACACAGGUGCAGGGACCCAAGGACUUGGGCCAUCCUCCACUGCUUUCCCAGGCCACAGCAGAUCAGAAGUGCAGCAACCAGGAUUCAAGCUGGCACCCAUAUGGAUGCCAGCACUGCAGGUGGCAUCUUUACCUGCUACGCCACAGUGCUGCCCCUGUCUGUGGUAUUGGUAAUAGAGAUGUAUGACUGUGUUUUGAAAAUGCUUAACCUUUGACGACAGACCUGUGUAUAGAAAAGGGAGAUGUUGAAGGCACAAGAAAUCCCUUUCACGUUUCAUCAGGUAUGACUCUGGGUUUAGCACACUCAGCUUGUCUAAUACUGUUAGCGUUGUCAUUACUCACAAACUUCAAAUACUUUGCCUACAUUUUCUUUUUUGACUUUUUCAGUUUUUAGACAACGAUUUUUUUUUGACAGGCAGAGUUAAACAGUGAGAGAGACAGAGAGAAAGUUCUUCCUUCCCAAAUGGCUGCUACGGCUGGCACACUGCGCCGACCCGAAGCCAGGAGCCAGGUGCUUCCUCCUGGUCUCCCAUGCGGGUGCAGGGCCCAAGCACUUGGGCCAUCCUCCACUGCCUUGCCCCGCCACAGCAGAGAGCUGGACUGGAAGAGGAUGAACCAGGACUAGUACCUGGUGCCCCAACCGGGACUAGAACCCAGGGUGCCGGCGCUGCAGGCGGAGGAUUAGCCAAGUGUGCACGGCGCUGACCCCGACAAAGAUUUUUUUGAUAUAGGAUUUAUUGUGGUAAAUAUAUAUGUAACAUAAAAUUAACAUUAUAAAUAUUUUUAAAGGGUAAUUCAGUGCAGUCAAUUUUAUCCACAACGUUGUGCAACCAUGGUCAUGAUUUCCAAAACUUUUUCAUCACCUCAAACAGAAGCUCCAUAACAACUAAACAACCACCCCCACUGUCACUCCAUUCUGAUAAACUUCUAUAUACUUUCUAAGUCUGUAAAUUACCUAAAAAUUCAUAUUAGUGGUAUCAUACUUUGACCUUUUUUAUCUGACUUAUUUCACUCAGCAUGUCUUCAAGGUUCAUCCAUUCUCUAGUGUGUCAUAAUUCUCUUCUUUGUAAAGACUGAAUCAUAUUUAUUUAUAUGCAUAGACCAAGCUUUACUUACCUUCUAUCUGUUGAUAGAUUUCUAAGUUGUUUCAGUGUUGCAAUGAACACUGGUACACAAGUAUCUGUUCAGUCUGCUUUCUAUCUCCUUGGGCAUAUAUAUAUGUAGGAGUGGAAUUGUUGGAUCGUAUUGUGAGAAAAUGAUUUUUUAAAAAGAUUUUAUUUAUGUAUUUGAGAGGUAGAGUUACAGAAAGUGAGAGAUAGAGAGGCAGAUAGAGAGGUCUUCCAUCCACUGGUUACUCCCACAUGGCCGCAAUGGCCAGAGCUGAGCCAAUCUGAAGCCAGGAGCCAGGAGCUUCUUCUGGGUCUCCCACUUGGGUGCAGGGGCCCAAGCACCUGGGCUACCUUCCACCUGUUUCCCAGGCCAUAGUGGAGAGCUCGAUCAAAAGUGGAGCAGCUGGGACUCAAACCAGUGCCCACAUGGGAUGCCAGUGCUGCAGAAGGAGGAUUAAUCUACUGUGCCACAGUGCCGACCCUGAAAAUGAUUUUUACAGCAUAAAUAGUGAACAUUACAGAAGAAUUAAAGUGCAAGGGCCGGCGCUGUGGUGCAGCAGGUUAAAGCCCUGGCCUGCAGUGCCCGCAUCCCAUAUGGGCGCCAGUUCUAGUCCUGGCUGGUCCUCUUCUGAUCCAGCUCUCUGCUAUGGCCUGGGAAAGCAGUAGAAGAUGGCCCAAGUCCUUGGGACCCUGCACACAUGUGGGAGACCGGGAAGAAGCUCCUGGCCCCCGGCUUCGGAUCGGCGCAGCUCCAGCCGUUGUGGCCAUCUGGGGAGUGAACCAGCAGAUGGAAGACCUCUCUCUGUCUCUACCUCUCUCUGUAACUCUGUCUUUCAAAUAAAUAAAAUAAAUCUUAAAACAAAUAAAGUGCAAAGGUAAACUUGGAGAAAGAAAAAAUCUAUAGUAAAAAUAUUUUUUCUGUCUUGUUCUGUGCUUCUUUAGCAUAAUUUUUAAAAGCAAACUUGUGUACAUAUGGUCCCUGAAAGUAGCUUCUGUGAUCACCUUCUCUUUAUAGCUUCUAUCCGCUAGCUACACCCUCAAAGGUGAGAUGCUUGCCUUUCUAAGCAGGAAAAGGCUAGAAGAAUCAUAACUAAGAUAGCUUCCACCAGGAAAACUCCUCCCAAUUUGCUGAGGGCUUUCCCAUCACAGCACUGGAAGUCCCACAUCUGAGAAAACCCUCCUUCUAGGAAAAUUGAGACAGUAAGUCACCCUACUUUAAGGCCUGCCAAAAAUGUAUACUCUUUUACAUAAAGGCCUUUGUGUUACUGUUGUGGAUUGUUAUCAUGAUGGUUUUAUCAUUUGUAAAAAAGGGGCAUAAUAUUUCCUAUAAGUAUGCUAGAUAUAUUUUGGGGAAAAUAGUGUGUGGAAUUCUUUGGAAUGGUAUAGGCAUUAGGAAAAUGUGAUAUUGGUGUUACUUCUUAGAGGGAUGUGUGUGUACAAUUUCCACACAAUGCCUAAAUCUAAUUUUCCACCAAUAAUCUCAAUCAAUUUUUUCAAAAUAAAACUUUUUACGGGGGGCAGUGUUGUAGCUUAGUCAGUUAAGCCCCCGCUUGUGAUGCAUGCAUCCCACAUGGGCACCAAUUCAAGUCCUGGCUGCUCCACCUCCUACCCAGCUCCCUGCUAAUGUGCCUGGGAAAGCAGUGGAAGAUGGCCCAAGUGUUUGGGCCCCUGCACCCACGUGGGAGACCUGAAUGACGCUCCUGGCUCCUGGAUUUAGCCUGGCACAGCCCUGGCUCUUGCAGCGAUGGUAAGAAUGAACCAGCAGAUGGAAAAUCUCUCUGUCUCUAUGUCUUUCUCUCUGUCUCUUCUUUCUCUGUAACUCUGCCUUCCAAAUAAGCAAAUAAGUUUUUUUUUUUUUAAAUAAAACAUUUUUUCCCAAGCAGCUGGUAUUCAGGCAAACUUACUGAAUCAACUUUGGUUCUCUUUUCAUUUACACCUUUGCUUUGAGAACUCAAAUAGAAAAUACCCGAACUGCAGGGAGUGUUGCAAAGCAGAAACAUUCUUCAUGGGAACCUAGUCAGUUGAAUGGGGAUGGUUGCCUUAGGCAAGGUACCAGGUUGAACUUCAUGUACGAGAAGGAGAAAGGACAGAUGAAUGUCAAGAUUUCUAGAGAUGGUGCUGGAUUACAAUAUUUACAGACCCCUAUAAGAGAAAUACAUAAUCUGUGCAUAUUACACAGCAAUGCUGGCAGAAUCUGUGAUGAGCACUGUGCAUUCCAAUGCAUGUAACAUAUAUAAGGACUGUAUAUGGCUUUCCUGCCAUUCAGGUCUGCAUACGAAUGACUUUUGAAAAUCUUUCAGUUUUAAUAGCAUUCUCAUAAUUGUAGAUAGAAGACUGAUGUUGAGUGAAUCAUGCCAGUAUCUUUUGGACUGAAAUAAUGAAAUAUUAAAAAACAGAAGAGGGACCAGCAUUGUAGUGUAGUGGGUGAAGCUGCCACCUGCUUCCCAUAUGGGUGUUGAUUUGUGUCCCUGCUGCUCCUCUUCUGAUCCAGCUCCCUGUUAUUGGCUUGAGAGAAGUAGCAGAAGAUGGGCCAAGUGCUUGGGCUCCUGUCACCCACAUCAGAGACGUGGAUGGAGUCUGGGAUUCUGUCUUUGGCCUGGCCCAGCCCUGGCAAUUGCAGCCAUUUGGGAGAGUAAAACAGUGGAUGGAAGAUCUCUCUCUCUCCCUCCCUCCUUCCCUCCCUCUCAUUCUUUGUCUCCCUCUCUCUCUAGAGCUGGACCUUUCUAUAUAUAUAUUAAAAAUGGAAGAGAAUUCAGAGCUCAUCUUGUCUAAGAUGCCCAAUAUCUUGUAGGAAAUAUUAGUAAUAACAAUAAUAAAUAAGUCCUUAAGAUUCCAAUCCUCUAUUAUCUCAUUUAGUCUGCUUGAUUGUCACAUUAAAUAUAUGUCAGUAACAGCUGCAAUAAAAGGCCAGAACCAGGUAAUACUUGGGUAACUCAAACAAUGCUACUUACUAGAUAACACAGCAGGAAAUCAGCAUAGCAGAAUGAUUCUCUAAUGAGACAGAAAUCUAAGCUUCCAGGAUUUCCUCCACAGGGCCUUAUAUACCAGUGGAUGGAUGGUGAUUUGCUGUCGAAAUCUGAGAGACAGCACUAUGAAGACAUUCAUGAAGUAGUUUUUUCAGAAUAGUCCAUUUAAAAAUAACUUUCCAGCUUUACUUGUCAGCUUCAUUAGUCUCUGAUUUUCUGUUAGAAACCCUAAUUAUAAUGAUAAGAAUCACCUUUUAUUAAGUGCUCACUAUGUUCCAGGAACAUUAGCACGCUUAAUCCUCACAACAUCCAUGGUAGCUAUGAUCACAGCCGUGAUGAAGGGAUACUGACAUUCUGGCAAGCUAAAUACCUUGCCCAAGUUGUGCAGAAGGGGAUUACUAGGAUUUUAAUGUGGAUUUAUUUUUUCUUUAUGGUUACAGCCUUGAGGCUCUACUUUAAGAAAAGUGUUCUGCAGAAAUCUAAAUACCAACCUAGACAAAUCAAGAAUAUGCUAUUCAUGUUAUAAAAGGAUACUUCCUUUACAAAUUUUCCUUAAAUAGCAGGAUUUCUUUACAUUAGCAUUUCCUCAGCACAUUUUGUUUGUUGGUCAAUAGUGACUUGAGGGAGAGUCUGGGGGAAACCCUGCCAAAUACUAAUCAAUCAAAAUUAAAGACAAAUAAUUCAUGGAAGAAUUAAAAAAAAUCAUUGGGAAAGUAUAACUAAAUAUAUUUCUUUUUCCACAAAUACAUAUCUCCUAGAAGUGGAUUGAUUUGGUCUAGAAAGGUAUUCUUUCUAGGUUGUUCAGAGACAACUUUUAGAAGUCCUACCUUAUAAGAAGCCCUGUCAGAUGUCAUUAAGAGAAUUACUGAACUGAACUGAGAACUGGAGACAAGACUCUUAUUUAUGAAAUGGGCAGACCAGUUAACUAGGUAUGCUAAACGCUGUACGUAAAAAGAUGCUGCUAAGACCCAACAAAAAAUGCUGCAAUGAUUACUUUUAUUCCUUAGAAUCUUCAAACAAAUAAAAUUGUUCUCAUUCUGUUGUAAAUCAUAGAUGUACCGAUAAAUUUAGGCAAAGUGAAACUUACCUGCAUAGUGUCUGUUCUUUAAAGUAAAUUGGAAGAGACUAAGCACAAUUAAUUCAUAAAUGUUGUUUAAAAAAAAAAGAAUCUUCAGACUUGAAGAUCUCGGGGCUGGCACUGUGCCCUAUUAGGUAAAUGUGCAGGCAUCCCAUAUGGCCGCUGGUUCAAGUCCCAGCUGCUCCACUUUUUUUUUUUUUUUUUUUAAUUGAAUAGACUGUCCUUACUCCAGGGAGCUCCACUUCUGAUCCAGCUUGCUGCUAAUGUGCCUGGGAAAGCAGAGGAAGAUUGCCCAGGUCCUUGGGCCCCUGCACCUGCAUGGGGGAGCCAGAGGUGGCUCCCGGCUCCUGGCUUGGAAUUGGCUCAGCACCAGCUGUUGUGGUCAUUUAGGGAGUAAGUCAGCAGCUGGAGGACUGCUCUCUCUGCUUCUGCCUCUGCCUCUGCAUAACUUUGCCUUUCAAAUAAAUAAAUGAAUCUUUAAAAACAAACCUCCCUGUCCUCUAAAACAAACAAACAAACAAACAAACUUGAAGAUCUCUUGUAUCCUCCCUUUAAUUACUUCUAUUUCAGACAAUACACAUAGAAAAACUUAAGUACUAUCCAAGGAGCACAGUGAUUAGAACCGUAGGACCCGAUUUAAUAUCACGGAAGAGCAGUAAGGGAAGAUGUGAUAGAAUCCAUAGCAAGGAUGUUUUGAGUAAACAGAAACUAACUUUCUGAAGAGGACUCUACAGAAUGAGAAAGUGACAGGAAGAGAUGAACAUGAUGUGAAGGCAAACAGCAGUAAGCUUCUGCUUUAAUAAGCAUGUAUGAUUAGACAGCAACAUGCAUACAUAAUCAAACAGGACUCAACCACCAAGAUGUCAGACUGACUCAAGAAAGCCUGUUCUUCCUAAAUACUCCAUUGAAGAUAAUUUUCCAGCUUUACUACUUUAGCUUCAUCAAUCUCUCAUUUUUAUUGUUACAACUCCAAGCAUUUGAUUUCACCAACAUAUUCAUCUUAAGCAUAACUCUCCUCAUCCCCCCCCCCCCUUUUUUUACACAUUUCUUCACAUUCUGCUUGCUCUAUCCCUGCUGGAUAUUUCUUUCAUAACAAUAAAACAAUAAAAUAAUAAUAGCAUCUAACAUUUGUGGGCUUCGUUUUUGCUAGAAUGUGUUUAGUACUGUAUAUGAUUUAUACUUAAUCACCCCAGGAAUGGAAAUUUAGAGAGAUUAUGUGAUUUGUUCAAGGUGAUACAUAUCUAGAUGGUAGAGCCAGAAUUUUAACACAAGGCUCUGCCUAACUUUAAUCUUUACUCUUGAAUCAUUGCAUACCACCUGCCACCUGCCACCUCUGUAGGUGUUAGGGCUGUGACAUGCUUAGUUGUGAUAGGACCAUGGCCUUGAGACUAUGAAAUCAUUGGUCUUGGUUAAUGAGGGAGGGGCCUCCAAGAUAACCUAGCAGUAACUGUUUGCUCCUUUAUCUUCUCAUUUAUGACUCUCUAGUUUCUGAUUAUUCUCAGAAUAUUUUUGGGAGAGUAAAUAGACAGCUAUUAUUUUAAAUCUCAAAUUUACAUUAUGCUAGGGAAGUAGUCAAAGAUUAAAUGACUUGCGGGUUGGAGGGGAUUUGAGGAUAUGGAGCGAUAAGCCAGGUGGGGCAACUGUCCUUACCCUGGGGCUCCUGGUCUAAUGGGGUGCAGACCUGGAGCUCUUGGUUCCCUCUCUCCUCUUGCAAUGGUUUGUUUCUGCACUAUCUAUAUUUGCCUUAGCAGAAUUGUGUUAUGGGUUUAUCUUAGGGUAACCUGGGAUUACUCGUGGAAGGCUACCAUAUAAACCUAUACUUAGAAAAUUGAGGUCUGUGUUUCUGAGAUGAAUGGAAAGGCAAGUAACAAAACACACAAUUCAUUAUGUCAAAUCUGAUUUUAAUUCUCCUUAAAGAAAUAAAGCAAAUGGCAUGACAUUUUGGCAGUUUCUUGAAAGCACCCACAUUUGAUUUGAUGAGAUGUGUGCUCCUAUUUGAGUCGUGUCCAAAAGAGGGCAGACAGAUGGAAGGCUUUUACAAAAGGGAAAAAAAAUCCUGGUUAGUGUGAGCCUGGAAUUCCUAAAUGGCUUUCAAUUUUUUUUUUUCUCUUGUAAAGCAAUAAAUAGGUCUUCACAGAUGGGCUAGCACUUGAGUUAAAAGCACCCUUUGAAAAAUUACAAUCAAUGAGAGCCUUACACAGAUGUAGAUAGUUCAAACACAUGCAAAUCAUAGCAAAUCACACAGGGUGAGGCUAGAGAAACCAGUCUUUAAAGAAGCAAAUAUACACUCAGAGCUGUGAAACAAACUGCUGUGACCCUCCAGCAUCGCUUUUCCAGCUGGGAGUCACCACCCAUUGCUAGGUAUGAAAUCAAUUUAAUCGGUUGUAACCAGAAUUUGCAAACAGGGUGGUGGUGGUGGGGACAUGAACCAGCACUAUUGGGAGUGUACCAUGUGUGGUGAGAAUAAAUGCUGUUUCCUGAGGGUCUGUUUCACUUACACACUGUGCACCGGGUCCUGAUAUAUUCCUUACUAUAGGUCAUGGUGAAAAUAUCAUUAUAUUUUUUAAAUUGUACCUGUGAACUAUAUUGAAUUUGUAUUAAUAUUGAAUCAACAUGAAAAAUAAAGUAUCAAAAUAAAGAUACUGGUCUAGCAGAUGACUAAUGCAACUCUACUCAACACAAUGCAAUUCUACUGAUGAACGGCCAGACUUUAGUAUGCAUGGUUAACAUCUGAGUUGUGCUUCUUAGUGCAUCAAGUAGGUCUCUGUCUCUUGAGCAGAGUGGGCUAGGGGAGGCCUGUGAAAAUGCUCUACCUGCUGGAUGCCCCUGGCAGGGAUGCGUGGGCGGACUCAGAAGCCUGUGUGUGCUGACAUGAAAUGAAUGUCCAGAGAGCAGAUGAUAAAAUGUCUUUUAUGUGGACUGAGCUCAAAAGGAUUCUGCUUUCGGAUUUAAGAGGAUGGUAGAAUUAAGCACGUGAUGAGAAACAAAUGACCCAGAAACCGAGCACAGUGGAGAGCAAACAGUGACAGUUUCUGUAAAUAAUUCCUAAAACUUCUUGAAAAUAACAAGAAUCUAAUAUUUAUUAAGCACUUAACAUAUACCUAUACUUUGUUAAAUGUUUUACAUGAAUUAACUUUUUUUUCUUUGAAAUAAAAGAUUUAUUUAAUUAUUUGAAAAAAAGAGUUACAGAGAGGCAGAGGCAGAGAGAGAGGGGUCUUCCA